GACGAACGCUGGCGGCGUGCCUAAUACAUGCAAGUCGAACGCAGUGGGGACGGGUGAGUAACACGUGGGUAACCUCCCAUCAGAGGGGAUAACACUUGGAAACAGGUGCUAAACCGAUACUGAUGGAUGGACCCGCGGUGCAUUAGCUAGUUGGUGAGGUAACGGCUCACCAAGGCCACGAUGCAGAGCGGGGCUGCGAGGGUGAGCGGGCACACUGGUACUGAGACACGGCCCAGACUCCUACGGGAGGCAGCAGGAGGGAAGCUUGGGCAAUUGACGAAAGUCUGACCGAGCAAUGCCGCGUGGGUGAAGAAGGUUUUCGGGUCGUAAAGCUCUGUUGUUAGAGAAGCGGUAUCUAACCAGAAAGCCACGGCUAACUACGUGCCAGCAGCCGCGGUAAUUC
rnacentral:rRNA from 1 species